UCCCUGGACAAAUAUUUAACAAACUCGUACAAUUUGAUAGUAAUAAAUGGAACAUCCGAAACCUGUGAAUCUUUCUGAGUACAUAAUAUAGAAACUCAAACACAAGUAACUAAAUAGAAAGAAAUCCAAACAUAUAAUUAUUAUGUAUAUAAAACUGAUUGCUAAAAAUCUAGUAAAAAAUAUUUCCACGUACAGGAAAUAUAACCAAGCAAUCCUCUAGGAUAAAAUAUUUUGUGACACUAAUUGCUAAAAUCAUGAGGCAAAAUAAUCACAGAAACUCCCAACCAAAAGUUGUCAUGAAAAUAGUUUUGCCAUGUAUUUGACAUGGUGGCAUCAGAUUUCCAAUUUAUCUUGACAUUAUUGGAUCAUAUUUGUUACUUAGAAUUGAGGAGGCGUAGAACGUAAUGUGGUCUUGCAUCUUCAUAAAGGACCAUGAAUAUCUCCAAGUGUUCCACUUUGUGGGCUAGAAUUUCACAAAUGUUGAACUUGUCGUGGAGAGAGAGAUGAGGAAUGGAACCCAACAGAUCGAAUACCUCCUUCCUCGCUUUUUCUAAGUCUUGGUCAUAUCCGAUCAACUAGCUAGAUUCUCCAAUCUAGCAUUCAUAUUGCGACUAAUCUCACCAAGCAGAGCGUAGCCAUAAGUGGAUUUGCAUUUCUUGCCUCUAGUUUCUUUCACUUGUGCAGGUUGCUUGCUUCCAUAAACACUAUUUUUCCCUUGUGUGGCUUCAAAUAUGUCAUCAAGGCUAACGUUAUAAUCAUCGGCCGAUGCAGAUUCUUCCAUGUCAUCUUGUUGCUCCAAUUUAUUCAACACAUCGAGAAUGUCCUCUGCAUUAUCACACGUUGCCCACUCCGUUUCCAAAAAUCUCUUUCCAAUCCACAAAGUAAGGUCAAGGCUUUUACCGCAUUGAACAAGCAUUACUAUCGCUCUGUCAUGUCAACAAAAAGCAAAAUUCAACAUAUAUCGCAAAUUUAAAUCAUGGAAGCUAUCACAAAAAUUAUAUUAUGCAAAUAAUGCACCUUUUCGUAAUACUUUCUUGCAGAGCAUAAACAUAUAAAUUAAUUUGAAAGAAAUUCUAAGGAUAAAAAUAAGUCAUGUUUUCUAUAGAAAUCACUAGUUAACAUUUUAAAACAUGUGAAGAUAAGUAAAAAUAAGCCAACCUCGUACGUGUAACUUCAAGUCCUUAUUCACUACAAGAAAGAAACAAUGGACUUCAUGACCAAACUAUAAUCAUCGAGGGAAAAAAUAUAGAAGAAAGAAAACAAUUUUAGAUAAAGACUCUUCUCCACAAUAUUCAGAAGACAUUCAUUUAUAUAGCAGAGAAAAAUUAUGAAACAAAAGCUAUGAUCAGGUUCAGAGGGUCACAAAUCUCAUUUCAUUCAUGAACAUAGUUAGCACCACAAUGAGAAAGCUUUCAUCCAUUUUUAAAAAUUCAUUGAAGGAUUUCAGAGAUAUGGAUUAUUCCCCAACAACAAAAUUUCAACUUUACAUAUUUAUUAUCAUCAUAGUAGAUAAUCUUUAGUAUCAUUUCAGAUCAAGCAUGCCCGCAUUUUAUUAUAUGCAUGUGAAGGUUGUAGUGGAAAUGAAGGAUUUCAUAGAUAUAGACAUUAAUAUCCACAUGACUAUAUCAAACAAAGAAUCUGAUCGAGUUCCAUACCAAUAUAAAGUGUAGCUAAGGCACUGAGUAUCCGGCCACUAUAGAAAAUAACUGCUAAUAAACAUCUUUAUAUCACUCUUGUUAAUAUCUUAUUUUCUUCCAUUUUUGAAUUAUAUAUUUCAUUUCAUUUACCUGAUGUACAAAUGCAUGCAUAAAGAUAAUUACAAUUAGCAAUAACUUUAGGUUUAUAUCGCUUCAUUCAUCAUUCCAUAAUCACAAAUUUAAAUCAUGCAAGAAUUUGUUGAAAAUUAUAAUAUGCAAUCAAUGUACCGAGUUUACCUUCACAAUACAAUCCCACUGAUCAUCAUCACAGUAAAUCAUGAAUGUCUCAUUCCAAAUUGAAUCCAACUCCACUUCGACUCAAGAUUUUGGUCAAGGAGUAAUAAUUUUUCUUUUAUGUGCUCGGCUUCGAGUUGAUAUGAGGAUUUCCUCUAGAUUUGUUCCAUGAAAAUGUUUCUUUAAAGCAUAUUUUAGUUUAUUAAGGUAGCUAACCCUUAACCCCUUGUCUGACCUCCAACCUUGAGCCACGAGUUCUUUCAGAGCUGCAAGAAGAGUCUUCUCCUCUUUAGAUGACCAACUACAUCAGCUCUUAUUGGUUUUCUUGCCAUUGACAUGACCCAUGAAAAAUUUUUAUUUCACAAUUACAUUUGAAAAUCAAUCCUAUUGUUCAAACAUGUAAGCAACAACAAGAAAAAAAAAAAAAGGAUAAGAAACGCUUAAAAGACAUGUUCUCACAUUUAAAGCAGCCCACAAACAGAAAAUCAAAUUAUAACAAAUUUCAGAGUUAUCAUGUUACCUAAUUUCAUAUUUCUUCCAAUUCCAAGUAUGAUUUCUCCAAUUUUCAUGUCGAUGAGAUCAAUAUAAUUAGGCUCAUUUCUUGUAAAAAGACACGUAAUUUCUUGUAAUUCCCAAUUAUAUUGGAAUAAAAAUACGAUUAAAAUUAUAAUUUCAAGUGGGAGCAAUAUUGAUUAAGUCGAUGGAAUUACAAGAGAUNUAGAAACUCAAACACAAGUAACUAAAUAGAAAGAAAUCCAAACAUAUAAUUAUUAUGUAUAUAAAACUGAUUGCUAAAAAUCUGUAAAAAAUAUUUCCACGUACAGGAAAUAUAACCAAGCAAUCCUCUAGGAUAAAAUAUUUUGUGACACUAAUUGCUAAAAUCAUGAGGCAAAAUAAUCACAGAAACUCCCAACCAAAAGUUGUCAUGAAAUAGUUUUGCCAUGUAUUUGACAUGGUGGCAUCAGAUUUCCAAUUUAUCUUGACAUUAUUGGAUCAUAUUUGUACUUAGAAUUGAGGAGGCGUAGAACGUAAUGUGGUCUUGCAUCUUCAUAAAGGACCAUGAAUAUCUCCAAGUGUUCCACUUUGUGGGCUAGAAUUUCACAAAUGUUGAACUUGUCGUGGAGAGAGAGAUGAGGAAUGGAACCCAACAGAUCGAAUACCUCCUUCCUCGCUUUUCUUAAGUCUUGGUCAUAUCCGAUCAACUAGCUAGAUUCUCCAAUCUAGCAUUCAUAUUGCGACUAAUCUCACCAAGCAGAGCGUAGCCAUAAGUGGAUUUGCAUUUCUUGCCUCUAGUUUCUUUCACUUGUGCAGGUUGCUUGCUUCCAUAAACACUAUUUUUCCCCUUGUGUGGCUUCAAAUAUGUCAUCAAGGCUAACGUUAUAAUCAUCGGCCGAUGCAGAUUCUUCCAUGUACAUCUUGUUGCUCCAAUUUUAUUCAACACAUCGAGAAUGUCCUCUGCAUUAUCACACGUUGCCCACUCCGUUUCCAAAAAUCUCUUUCCAAUCCACAAAGUAAGGUCAAGGCUUUUACCGCAUUGAACAAGCAUUACUAUCGCUCUGUCAUGUCAACAAAAAGCAAAAUUCAACAUAUAUCGCAAAUU
rnacentral:lncRNA from 1 species